rnacentral:rRNA from 1 species
AUUGAACGCUGGCGGCAGGCCUAACACAUGCAAGUCGAACGAGUGGCGGAACGGUGAGUAAUGUCUGGGAAACUGCCUGAUGGAGGGGGAUAACACCUGGAACCGGUAGCUAAUACCGCAUACCAUCAGAUGUGCCCAGAUGGGAUUAGCUAGUUGGUGGGGUAACGGCUCACCAAGGCGACGAUCCCUAGCUGGUCUGAGAGGAUGACCAGCCACACGGGAACUGAGACACGGUCCAGACUCCUACGGGAGGCAGCGGUGGGGAAGAGUGCACAAUUGGCGCAAGCCUGAUGCAGCCAUGCCGCGUGGAUGAAGAAGGCCUUCGGGUUUUAAAGUACUUUCAGCGGUGAGGCGUUACCCGCUGAAGAAGCACCGGCUAACUCCGUGCCAGCAGCCGCGGUAGUUC